rnacentral:misc_RNA from 1 species
AGCGGAAGGCUUAAAAGCUAUGCAGCGGAUGGUAUACGUUUACAGACACCUUUUCUAGAUGGUUCUCCGACACUAUAGAUGGCUUCCACUCGAACUUGAGCCGGAUUACAAAGACGGCUACACAUGCGACCACUGCCAUCAGGACUUUCUCGAAGCUCCAUUUUAUCAUGAAGAAGCUACUGGCACCGACUACUGCCUCGAAUGUGGCAAUGCCGCCGGCUACACCCCGUUUAGCGGCCUCGUAGCCUCACUUUUAUUUAGUAGUCAAGACAACGUCCUACGAGACUCGGACUCAAACUCGAUCGCGUUGUUUGCAUACAGAGUGGAUUCGCAAAGUGCUGGAAUCUGCUUUGCAAACGGAUCCAAUCUGGUCGUUCACCUGCAGAUGAACGGCAACAUUCGAGACGCUAUAUUUUACACCGUGAAAGAAGGUUCCAUAGAGUCAAAGCUGCGUGUGUCGUCGACCGACCUUUCGCGUCGUUUUUCGUGGCUGAGCAGCGGUCUUCUCAAGCCCUUCGACGUUGAAGUACAGCUGCACACACUUCCUGUAGUACCGGUUCCGUUAGAUGACUUUUGUGUCUUAGCGUACGGCGCAACUGAUGAUCUCAUAGAGAUACACCUCAACGAGGCGUACUCGCAGCUCUUGGACGUGCGUGACGGCAAGGAAAUCGUUACUAGAGCGGAAAUGCCUGUGUGUGCGUUUUCCUCUCACGAAACGGUUGGGUGCUCAAAAUCGGAAGUGAUGGACGUGCUUCGUCUUCUCCGCACUAAAGCUGAAGCGCAGAAGAGGUCAUAGGCGCUCUGUGGCCAGAUGUCCUUGUCUACUAUUUUAUGACUCCUUCCUCGUGGCUUUGGAGAUGGGGCGAGCUCGAUGAAGACAAUUACGUGCGCGCACUCCAUAGAAGACCGUUGCGCUACGGGGCAUAUAUGGUGUUGCAUCAUCACCAGGAACUCUCAGCAGAGAAAGAAAAAAGGCCCCUUUUGUGCUGGAGAAGAUAUAGUGCGUUAGGCUCUAUGAUCCUCUGUAUUUUCUUCAUGACACGUUUUUGUAUAUCUGUCUAUUGAAGCUCGAACGGGAGUUGCAGGUAUCACUGGAAUUACCUGCUUAGGAUAAGGUUGCACCUCGGGUGUUUUCCCUUCACAUGCAAUCGAGUAGCACUGUCAUCUGUCCCGCUCUUCUCUGUACUUUCUCGUAAAUAUACACCAAACAG